UUUUUUUUUUUUUUUAAGAUGGUGUCUCACUCUGUUGCCAGGCUGGAGUGCAGUGGCAUGAUCUCGGUUCACUGCAACCUCCACUUCCUGGGUUCAAGCGAUUCUCCUGCCUCAGCCUCCUGAGUAGCUGGGACUACAGGCGCCCACCAUCACGCCCAGCUAACUUUUGUAUUUUUAGUAGAGAUGGGGUUUCACCCUGUUGGCCAGGAUGGUCUUGAUCUCUUGACCUCGUGAUCCGCCCGCCUCAGCCUCCCAAAGUGCUGGGAUUACAGGCGUGAGCCAUCGCGCCUGGCCUCUGACCACUGUUUUUAUAUCUAUAACUAGUAUCAUACACACAUUAUUACAUGAAUAUUAACUACCUAGCUAAGAGAAAGUGUUGAGCAAUUGCUUAUCUGGUGAAUAAAAUGCAUAUUUGAAACCAAUUGGUGUAAAUUAGUAACCAUAUUGUACUUUAGAAAAUAUAUUUUUUCCUUCAAGUGAUUUUUGGGGGCUUGAUUUACCUGAACAAUGCCCUAAUCCCUCCAUUCUGCCUGAGUAGAUGAUCUGAGACAGAUUAUUGAAAGCACAGGUGUGGAUGAGGCACUCGGGUUAAGGGUGAACUUUGCUGCAGUUGGUAGGAUCUGUUCUCAUUUGAAGGAACACAAGCCAAACAUAAUUGUUUUGAUUCCCUGGUCUCUGGCUAGAUUUCUUGCAUAAAAAAUAAUAACAGAAGGCAAUUCAACACAUGAACAGACUGAGUAAAACUGUAGUGCAUUCACCCUAAAAGACAGCACACCUAAAAUGCCAUUCUCAUUCUGAGAUCUCAUCACAUGUUCAAAAGUUCUUGCAGAUGUGUGUCUGGCAGAGAAGAUGGUUUAAUUUCAUACCUAAACCUAAAGCAUACAUGUAUAUAUAAAUUCAACACAUUCAUGACAUUGAAACACCUUUUCAUUCUUCUCCUAACUAGAAUUGUUUUUCCUUUGGUAUUAUUCUUGGUGGUUGUUCACUGAGUAAAACUCCAGAGAGAUUUUUCUGUUUUUAACUAUUAUAUAAAUAAUUCACUGGCUUUAAAAGCCAGGAAAAUAAGGGUUAUAAUCAGAGUCAUAUGAUCGUCUAGAUUUUAACAAUGAAGUACUUGAACUCUAGUUUGUUGUAUAAAGUUAAGAGGCUCAAGAUCUUCAAGGCUCGGAGAGAGACCAAGUCUAAGUAUGGUUGGAGAGCUGGACAGAGGCAGGUAAAACCAUGCUUUCCAAAUGUUUCUAUCCAUCCUACCUCUGUGUACCUCUGCCUUGUGUUAGUUCUAGAAAUAUUCAUUUCUUUCUCUCUCUCUCUCUUUUUUUUUUUCUGUGAUGGAGUCUCACUCUUCGCCCAGGCUGGAGAGCAA
rnacentral:lncRNA from 1 species